UACAGAGGUCUCAAGCGUUGUUCGGAUUCAUUGGGCGUAAAGGGCGCGUAGGCGGCGAGGUAAGUCGGGUGUGAAAUCUCAGAGCUCAACUCUGAAACUGCACUCGAUACUGCUUUGCUAGAGGACUGGAGAGGAGAUUGGAAUUCACGGUGUAGCAGUGAAAUGCGCAGAUAUCGGGAGGAACACCAGUAGCGAAGGCGGCACUCUGGGCCGGUACUGACGCUGAGGAGCGAAAGCGUGGGGAGCGAACAGG
rnacentral:rRNA from 1 species